CAGUAGCCGCGGGAAUACGUAGGUGGCAAGCGUUGUCCGGAAUUAUUGGGCGUAAAGGGCUCGCAGGCGGUUUCUUAAGUCUGAUGUGAAAGCCCCCGGCUCAACCGGGGAGGGUCAUUGGAAACUGGGAAACUUGAGUGCAGAAGAGGAGAGUGGAAUUCCACGUGUAGCGGUGAAAUGCGUAGAGAUGUGGAGGAACACCAGUGGCGAAGGCGACUCUCUGGUCUGUAACUGACGCUGAUGUGCGAAAGCGUGGGGAGCGAACAGGAUUAGAUACCCGUGUAGUCCCUGUCUCUUAUAA
rnacentral:rRNA from 1 species